CACUUGUUGGGUGACUGCGUACCUUUUGUAUAAUGGGUCAGCGACUUAAUUUUAGUAGCAAGGUUAACCGUUUAGGGGAGCCGUAGGGAAACCGAGUCUUAACUGGGCGUCAUAGUUGCUAGGAUUAGACCCGAAACCGAGUGAUCUAGCCAUGGGCAGGUUGAAGGUGAGGUAACACUUACUGGAGGACCGAACCGACUAAUGUUGAAAAAUUAGCGGAUGACUUGUGGCUAGGGGUGAAAGGCCAAUCAAACUCGGAGAUAGCUGGUUCUCCCCGAAAGCUAUUUAGGUAGCGCCUCGGACGAAUACUACUGGGGGUAGAGCACUGUUAAGGCUAGGGGGUCAUCCCGACUUACCAACCCUUUGCAAACUCCGAAUACCAGUAAGUAAUAUCCGGGAGACACACGGCGGGUGCUAACGUCCGUCGUGAAGAGGGAAACAACCCAGACCGCCAGCUAAGGUCCCAAAGUUAUAGCUAAGUGGGAAACGAUGUGGGAAGGCUCAGACAGCCAGGAUGUUGGCUUAGAAGCAGCCAUCAUUUAAAGAAAGCGUAAUAGCUCACUGGUCGAGUCGGCCUGCGCGGAAGAUUUAACGGGGCUAAGCUAUACACCGAAGCUGCGGCAAUGUGAAUUUAUUCACAUUGGGUAGGGGAGCGUUCUGUAAGCCGUUGAAGGUGCAUUGUAAAGUGUGCUGGAGGUAUCAGAAGUGCGAAUGCUGACAUGAGUAACGAUAAAGGGAGUGAAAAACUCCCUCGCCGGAAGAUCAAGGGUUCCUGUCCAACGUUAAUCGGGGCAGGGUAAGUCGACCCCUAAGGCGAGGCCGAAAGGCGUAGUCGAUGGGAAACGGGUUAAUAUUCCCGUACUUCUUAUAAUUGCGAUGGAGGGACGGAGAAGGCUAGGUGAGCCUGGCGACGGUUGUCCAGGUCCAAGUAUGUAGGCUGAUGGUUUAGGCAAAUCCGGACCAUCUUAAGGCUGAGAUACGAUGUCGAGCUACUACGGUAGUGAAGUCAUUGAUGCCAUGCUUCCGGGAAAAGCUUCUAAGCGUCAGAUUAUAAGAAAUCGUACCCCAAACCGACACAGGUGAUCAGGUAGAGAAUACCAAGGCGCUUGAGAGAACUCGGGUGAAGGAACUAGGCAAAAUGGUACCGUAACUUCGGGAGAAGGUACGCUC
rnacentral:rRNA from 1 species